UGUACUUGGUCGCUAGGAUAGUGCAUACAUCUAUAUGUAUUGGACACUUGGACAUAUAGUAUACUUGAUAGUAUUGCUUAUUGCAUUUAGUAUACUUGGGUGCCAUGUUAGAGCAUACUAGACAGGUUUUGGCAUAUUGGAUCAUGAUAGAGUAGAUGUACUCCAUGUUCAUAUCAUAUAUACUUGUGACAUAGUAGUAUAGCAUUUAUUAUAUGCUUUCUUUUCCGCAGUUACUUAUUAUUAUCCUUACCUGCUUAUGUUUUGGGUCUAGUGGUGCAUUUUGCUCAGGUCAGUAAUUGCCCACUGGGAACUAUAAAUUAUAGUUCUCACGCCCCCUGUUUUAUGUUUUCAUACAAAGCCUUCCACUCCGGGAGAGGCUCGGGAUCGCAGGAAAGGUAUCGCCUCGGGCUAGAUAGCGAGGGACUUGUCGAUAGGUGAUCCACCUCUCUUUUGUUUCAUUUUGGAGAGGUUGAGAGAUUUGUACCUUUUUGUAGAGACCACCCCUUAUAUGUAUCUUGAGAUUUAUGAUGUUUUAACUUAUGCUUUACUUUAGUGG
rnacentral:lncRNA from 1 species